AGCGCAGGCGGGAAGGUAAGUCGGUCUUAAAAGUGCGGGGCUCAACCCCGUGAUGGGAUCGAAACUAUCAUUCUUGAGUGCAGGAGAGGAAAGUGGAAUUCCUAGUGUAGCGGUGAAAUGCGUAGAUAUUAGGAGGAACACCAGUGGCGAAGGCGACUUUCUGGACUGUAACUGACGCUGAGGCUCGAAAGCCAGGGGAGCAACG
rnacentral:rRNA from 1 species